rnacentral:rRNA from 1 species
UGGGGAAUUUUGGACAAUGGGGGCAACCCUGAUCCAGCCAUGCCGCGUGAGUGAAGAAGGCCUUCGGGUUGUAAAGCUCUUUCGGACGGAACGAAAUGGUUAUGGUGAAUAUCCAUGACUGAUGACGGUACUGUAAGAAGAAGCACCGGCUAACUACGUGCCAGCAGCCGCGGUAAUACGUAGGGUGCGAGCGUUAAUCGGAAUUACUGGGCGUAAAGCGUGCGCAGGCGGCCGCGCAAGUCAGGUGUGAAAUCCCCGGGCUUAACCUGGGAAUUGCGCUUGAAACUAUGCGGCUAGAGUGUGGCAGAGGGGGGUGGAAUUCCACGUGUAGCAGUGAAAUGCGUAGAGAUGUGGAGGAACACCGAUGGCGAAGGCAGCCCCCUGGGCCUGUACUGACGCUCAUGCAUGAAAGCGUGGGGAGCAAACAGGAUUAGAUACCCGAGUAGUCCCUGAGCGGGCUGGCAAGGCGCAU